rnacentral:rRNA from 1 species
GACGAACGCUGGCGGCGUGCUUAACACAUGCAAGUCGAACGGAAAGGCCCUGCUUUUGUUGGUUUCUCGAUUGGCGAACGGGUGAGUAACACGUGAGUAACCUGCCCUUGACUUUGGGAUAACUUCAGGAAACUGGGGCUAAUACCCGAUAUGAUCUCCUGCUGCAUGUUGUUGGUUGGAAAGUUUCGGCGGUUGGGGAUGUACUCGCUGCUUAUCAGCUUGUUGGUGGGGUAGUGGCUUACCAAGGCUUUGACGGGUAGCCGGCCUGGGAGGGGUACCGGCCACAUGGGGACUGAGAGACGGCCCAGAAUCCUACGGGAGGCAGCAGGGGGGAAUAUUGCACAAUGGGCGGAAGCCUGAGGCAGAAACGCCGCGUGCGGGAUGACGGCCUUCGGGUUGUAAACAGAUUUCGACGGUGACGAAGCGGGAGUGACGGUAAUGGGUAAAGAAGCAACGGCUAACUACGUG